UCUAACUCCAGAUCAGUCUGUUCUGAGAAAUAAAAUCUCCAUCAGCCUCCUUCUUCACACACAGAGAAAUAUUUUUGUACUGUGAGUUUU
ensembl:processed_transcript